rnacentral:rRNA from 1 species
CCCUUAGAGUUUGAUCCUGGCUCAAGAUGACCUCUGGCGGCGUGCUUAACACAUGCAAGUCGAACGGGAAUUACUUUAUUGAAACUUCGGUCGAUUUAAUUUAAUUCUAGUGGCGGACGGGUGAGUAACGCGUGGGUAACCUGCCUUAUACAGGGGGAUAACAGUCAGAAAUGGCUGCUAAUACCGCAUAAGCGCACAGAGCUGCAUGGCUCAGUGUGAAAAACUCCGGUGGUAUAAGAUGGACCCGCGUUGGAUUAGCUUGUUGGUGAGGUAACGGCCCACCAAGGCGACGAUCCAUAGCCGGCCUGAGAGGGUGAACGGCCACAUUGGGACUGAGACACGGCCCACACUCCUACGGGAGGCAGCAGUGGGGAAUAUUGCACAAUGGGGGAAACCCUGAUGCAGCGACGCCGCGUGAAAGAAGAAGUAUCUCGGUAUGUAAACUUCUAUCAGCAGGGAAGAUAGUGACGGUACCUGACUAAGACCCCCCGGCUAACUACGUGCCAGCAGCCGCGGUAAUACGUAGGGGGCAAGCGUUAUCCGGAUUUUACUGGGUGUAAAGGGAGCGUAGACGGUGUGGCAAGUCUGAUGUGAAAGGCAUGGGCUCAACCUGUGGACUGCAUUGGAAACUGUCAUACUUGAGUGCCGGAGGGGUAAGCGGAAUUCCUAGUGUAGCGGUGAAAUGCGUAGAUAUUAGGAGGAACACCAGUGGCGAAGGCGGCUUACUGGACGGUAACUGACGUUGAGGCUCGAAAGCGUGGGGAGCAAAC